UACGGAGGAGGCAAGCGUUAUCCGGAAUUAUUGGGCGUAAAGCGUCCGUAGAUGGUUUUGUCAGUCUGCUGUCAAAGCACAGGGCUUAACCCUGUAAAGGCAGUGGAAACUACAAGACUAGAGUGCAGUAGGGGCAGAGGGAAUUCCCAGUGUAGCGGUGAAAUGCGUAGAGAUUGGGAAGAACACCCGUGGCGAAAGCGCUCUGCUGGACUGCAACUGACGCUGAGGAGCGAAAGCGUGGGGAGCAAACAGG
rnacentral:rRNA from 1 species